rnacentral:rRNA from 1 species
UACCAGCACCCCGAGUGGUCGGGACGAUUAUUGGGCCUAAAGCAUCCGUAGCCGGUUCUACAAGUCCCCCGUUAAAUCCAGCUGCUUAACAGAUGGGCUGCGGAGGAUACUAUAAGACUAGGAGGCAGGAGAGGCAAGCGGUACUCAGUGGGUAGGGGUAAAAUCCGUUGAUCCAUUGAAGACCACCAGUGGCGAAGGCGGCUUGCCAGAAUGCGCUCGACGGUGAGGGAUGAAAGCUGGGGGAGCAAACCGG